rnacentral:rRNA from 1 species
CCUCCUUUCUUCCGCCGUGGGGCCUCUUGCCCCCUGGGCGCCCGCCUGCUGCAGCAACGCCGCGUGAAGGAAGAAGGGUUUCGGCUCGUAAACUUCUAUCAACAGGGACGAAAGAAAUGACGGUACCUGAAUAAGAAGCCCCGGCUAACUACGUGCCAGCAGCCGCGGUAAUACGUAGGGGGCAAGCGUUAUCCGGAAUUACUGGGUGUAAAGGGUGAGUAGGCGGCAUGGUAAGCCAGAUGUGAAAGCCUUGGGCUUAACCCGAGGAUUGCAUUUGGAACUAUCAAGCUAGAGUACAGGAGAGGAAAGCGGAAUUCCUAGUGUAGCGGUGAAAUGCGUAGAUAUUAGGAAGAACACCAGUGGCGAAGGCGGCUUUCUGGACUGAAACUGACGCUGAGGCACGAAAGCGUGGGGAGCGAACAGGAUUAGAUACCCUUGUAGUC